UACGGAGGGUGCAAGCGUUAUCCGGAUUCACUGGGUUUAAAGGGUGCGUAGGCGGGCAGGUAAGUCCGUGGUGAAAUCUCUGAGCUUAACUCAGAAACUGCCAUGGAUACUAUUUGUCUUGAAUAUUGUGGAGGUAAGCGGAAUAUGUCAUGUAGCGGUGAAAUGCUUAGAUAUGACAUAGAAUCACCAAUUGCGAAAGGCGCUUACUACACAGUCAUUGACGCUGAGGCACGAAAGCGUGGGGAUCAAACAGG
rnacentral:rRNA from 1 species